rnacentral:rRNA from 1 species
CCUACGGGUGACAACAGUAGGGAAUCUUCCACAAUGGGCGAAAGCCUGAUGGAGCAACGCCGCGUGGGUGAAGAAGGUCUUCGGAUCGUAAAACCCUGUUGGUAGAGAAGAAAGUGCGGGAGAGUAACUGUUCACGUGUCGACGGUAUCUAACCAGAAAGCCACGGCUAACUACGUGCCAGCAGCCGCGGUAAUACGUAGGUGGCAAGCGUUCUCCGGAUUUAUUGGGCGUAAAGGGAACGCAGGCGGUCUUUUAAGUCUGAGGGGAAAGCCUUCGGCUUAACCGGAGUAGUUCAUUGGAAACUGGGAGACUUGAGUGCAGCAGCGGUGAGUGGCACUCCCUUUGUAGCCG